rnacentral:rRNA from 1 species
ACGCUCGACACCUACGGGAAGCAGCAGUUGGGAAUAUUGGACAAUGGAGGAAACUCUGAUCCAGUGACGCCGCGUGAAGGAAGAAGGUCUUCGGAUUGUAAACUUAUUUUGUCAGGGAAGAAAAAAUGACUGUACCUGAAGAAAAAGCACCGGCUAACUACGUGCCAGCAGCCGUGGUAAUCUGAGCGGGCUGGCAAGGC